GGUUAAGCGACUAAGCGUACACGGUGGAUGCCCUGGCAGUCAGAGGCGAUGAAGGACGUGCUAAUCUGCGAUAAGCGUCGGUAAGGUGAUAUGAACCGUUAUAACCGGCGAUUUCCGAAUGGGGAAACCCAGUGUGAUUCGUCACACUAUCAUUAACUGAAUCCAUAGGUUAAUGAGGCGAACCGGGGGAACUGAAACAUCUAAGUACCCCGAGGAAAAGAAAUCAACCGAGAUUCCCCCAGUAGCGGCGAGCGAACGGGGAGGAGCCCAGAGCCUGAAUCAGUGUGUGUGUUAGUGGAAGCGUCUGGAAAGGCGCGCGAUACAGGGUGACAGCCCCGUACACAAAAACGCACAUGCUGUGAGCUCGAUGAGUAGGGCGGGACACGUGGUAUCCUGUCUGAAUAUGGGGGGACCAUCCUCCAAGGCUAAAUACUCCUGACUGACCGAUAGUGAACCAGUACCGUGAGGGAAAGGCGAAAAGAACCCCGGCGAGGGGAGUGAAAAAGAACCUGAAACCGUGUACGUACAAGCAGUGGGAGCCUCUUUUAUGGGGUGACUGCGUACCUUUUGUAUAAUGGGUCAGCGACUUAUAUUCUGUAGCAAGGUUAACCGAAUAGGGGAGCCGAAGGGAAACCGAGUCUUAACUGGGCGUUAAGUUGCAGGGUAUAGACCCGAAACCCGGUGAUCUAGCCAUGGGCAGGUUGAAGGUUGGGUAACACUAACUGGAGGACCGAACCGACUAAUGUUGAAAAAUUAGCGGAUGACUUGUGGCUGGGGGUGAAAGGCCAAUCAAACCGGGAGAUAGCUGGUUCUCCCCGAAAGCUAUUUAGGUAGCGCCUCGUGAAUUCAUCUCCGGGGGUAGAGCACUGUUUCGGCAAGGGGGUCAUCCCGACUUACCAACCCGAUGCAAACUGCGAAUACCGGAGAAUGUUAUCACGGGAGACACACGGCGGGUGCUAACGUCCGUCGUGAAGAGGGAAACAACCCAGACCGCCAGCUAAGGUCCCAAAGUCAUGGUUAAGUGGGAAACGAUGUGGGAAGGCCCAGACAGCCAGGAUGUUGGCUUAGAAGCAGCCAUCAUUUAAAGAAAGCGUAAUAGCUCACUGGUCGAGUCGGCCUGCGCGGAAGAUGUAACGGGGCUAAACCAUGCACCGAAGCUGCGGCAGCGACGCUUAUGCGUUGUUGGGUAGGGGAGCGUUCUGUAAGCCUGUGAAGGUGUACUGUGAGGUAUGCUGGAGGUAUCAGAAGUGCGAAUGCUGACAUAAGUAACGAUAAAGCGGGUGAAAAGCCCGCUCGCCGGAAGACCAAGGGUUCCUGUCCAACGUUAAUCGGGGCAGGGUGAGUCGACCCCUAAGGCGAGGCCGAAAGGCGUAGUCGAUGGGAAACAGGUUAAUAUUCCUGUACUUGGUGUUACUGCGAAGGGGGGACGGAGAAGGCUAUGUUGGCCGGGCGACGGUUGUCCCGGUUUAAGCGUGUAGGCUGGUUUUCCAGGCAAAUCCGGAAAAUCAAGGCUGAGGCGUGAUGACGAGGCACUACGGUGCUGAAGCAACAAAUGCCCUGCUUCCAGGAAAAGCCUCUAAGCAUCAGGUAACAUCAAAUCGUACCCCAAACCGACACAGGUGGUCAGGUAGAGAAUACCAAGGCGCUUGAGAGAACUCAGGUGAAGGAACUAGGCAAAAUGGUGCCGUAACUUCGGGAGAAGGCACGCUGAUAUGUAGGUGAAGUCCCUCGCGGAUGGAGCUGAAAUCAGUCGAAGAUACCAGCUGGCUGCAACUGUUUAUUAAAAACACAGCACUGUGCAAACACGAAAGUGGACGUAUACGGUGUGACGCCUGCCCGGUGCCGGAAGGUUAAUUGAUGGGGUCAGCGCAAGCGAAGCUCUUGAUCGAAGCCCCGGUAAACGGCGGCCGUAACUAUAACGGUCCUAAGGUAGCGAAAUUCCUUGUCGGGUAAGUUCCGACCUGCACGAAUGGCGUAAUGAUGGCCAGGCUGUCUCCACCCGAGACUCAGUGAAAUUGAACUCGCUGUGAAGAUGCAGUGUACCCGCGGCAAGACGGAAAGACCCCGUGAACCUUUACUAUAGCUUGACACUGAACAUUGAGCCUUGAUGUGUAGGAUAGGUGGGAGGCUUUGAAGUGUGGACGCCAGUCUGCAUGGAGCCGACCUUGAAAUACCACCCUUUAAUGUUUGAUGUUCUAACGUGGACCCGUGAUCCGGGUUGCGGACAGUGUCUGGUGGGUAGUUUGACUGGGGCGGUCUCCUCCUAAAGAGUAACGGAGGAGCACGAAGGUUGGCUAAUCCUGGUCGGACAUCAGGAGGUUAGUGCAAUGGCAUAAGCCAGCUUGACUGCGAGCGUGACGGCGCGAGCAGGUGCGAAAGCAGGUCAUAGUGAUCCGGUGGUUCUGAAUGGAAGGGCCAUCGCUCAACGGAUAAAAGGUACUCCGGGGAUAACAGGCUGAUACCGCCCAAGAGUUCAUAUCGACGGCGGUGUUUGGCACCUCGAUGUCGGCUCAUCACAUCCUGGGGCUGAAGUAGGUCCCAAGGGUAUGGCUGUUCGCCAUUUAAAGUGGUACGCGAGCUGGGUUUAGAACGUCGUGAGACAGUUCGGUCCCUAUCUGCCGUGGGCGCUGGAGAACUGAGGGGGGCUGCUCCUAGUACGAGAGGACCGGAGUGGACGCAUCACUGGUGUUCGGGUUGUCAUGCCAAUGGCACUGCCCGGUAGCUAAAUGCGGAAGAGAUAAGUGCUGAAAGCAUCUAAGCACGAAACUUGCCCCGAGAUGAGUUCUCCCUGACUCCUUGAGAGUCCUGAAGGAACGUUGAAGACGACGACGUUGAUAGGCCGGGUGUGUAAGCGCAGCGAUGCGUUGAGCUAACCGGUACUAAUGAACCGUGAGGCUUAACCUU
rnacentral:rRNA from 1 species